rnacentral:rRNA from 1 species
UACGGAGGGUGCGAGCGUUGUCCGGAAUCACUGGGCGUAAAGGGCGCGUAGGUGGCGAUGUAAGUCUGGUGUGAAAUCUCGGGGCUCAACCUCGAAAUUGCAUUGGAUACUGCGUUGCUUGAGGAUUGUAGAGGAGAGUGGAAUUCACGGUGUAGCAGUGAAAUGCGUAGAUAUCGUGAGGAAGACCAGUUGCGAAGGCGACUCUCUGGGCAAUUCCUGACACUGAGGCACGAAGGCCAGGGGAGCAAACGGG